rnacentral:pre_miRNA from 1 species
UUAGUACUCCCUCCGACCAGAAUUACUUGUCGAAAUAUUACAUGUAUCUAGAUGCUUUUUAAACAUAGAUACAUUUAUAUUUGGGCAAAUUUGAGACAAGUAAUAUGGAUCGGAGGGGGUAUUAU